rnacentral:rRNA from 1 species
AUGGACGCUGUGGAGUCCUCUUCGUCCUACUCGCCACCGUCACUGCGCCACAAGCUGCGGACCACCGUAUGCGGCUGCUUCGGCUCGCCGUCGUCGCCGGGUAGCGGCGGGGAGAGGCCACAAAACAGCGGCAGGGCCAGGUGGAGGAGGCGCGUGGCGGCCGCGGGGGAGUUCAGGUACGACCCGCUCAGCUACGCGCUCAACUUCGACGACGGCGCCAGCGGCAGCGAUGACGGCGCGGAAGCAGAGGACGCGGCCUUCCCGUACCGGAACUUCAACUCGCGCCUGCCGCCCUCGCCGGCGCCGGCCUCCCGAGCCGUCGCCAUCGCCUGA